GAUGAACGCUAGCUACAGGCUUAACACAUGCAAGUCGAGGGGCAGCAUGGUCUUAGCUCGCUAAGACCGAUGGCGACCGGCGCACGGGUGAGUAACGCGUAUCCAACCUUCCGCAUACUCGGGAAUAGCCUUUCGAAAGAAAGAUUAAUGCCCGAUGGUUUCCCGAAUCCGCAUGAGCGCGGGAAUAAAGAUUCAUCGGUAUGCGAUGGGGAUGCGUCCCAUUAGCUUGUUGGCGGGGUAACGGCCCACCAAGGCGACGCUGGGUAGGGGUUCUGAGAGGAAGGUCCCCCACAUUGGAACUGAGACACGGUCCAAACUCCUACGGGAGGCAGCAGUGAGGAAUAUUGGUCAAUGGGCGAGAGCCUGAACCAGCCAAGUAGCGUGAGGGAUGACCGCCCUACGGGUCGUAAACCUCUUUUAUAAGGGAGUAAAGAUAAGUACGCGUACUUAGUUACAUGUACCUUAUGAAUAAGCAUCGGCUAACUCCGUGCCAGCAGCCGCAGUAA
rnacentral:rRNA from 1 species